UUGUUGUUUUGUUUUCGGAUUUGUUAAUGUGUUUUGCACUUCUCGGUCUUCAGUGGUGUCCUACCUAAAACAAUUCAACUCUUUAUACCAUCCUUAUAACACCAUGGCUAUAGAAACCAUCAAUAUUAUACAGAAACGCAGUAUAACAGAGUGCUGUAUCGCAGGUGUAACAGCUCUUACUGCAGUUCUCACUUCACUCCACCUGAGGGAACCGCCACCUGAUUUCUCAACACCUCCUGUUCAAAGGUGUGGGGCUGCUGGGGAGUGUGCUCUCUGGGGGCUCUACUGCAGGCUUGGCUGUCUCCAUCUCUGGUGGGUGAGUGGCCCUCCAGUAAGACUCAAGGUACUCAGCUAUGUGCUCACAGGCAUCUGACAGUUGGUUCUCAUCUAAGAUGACAUCAAAGAUCUCCUAGGAAGCAAAGAGAAAUGCAUCUGUUUGCCCAGCAUCACACCUCCUGCUACUCAGUGUCAUGCCAAGCCCAGUACAAAACAGUGCAGAAUUUUUAAACAACACCAAAAUCUGCUCAGCCAUGCUUCUACCUGCAUUCAGACUGAAGGUGAGAGUCACCAGACCAACCAAAAAAGGAGGUAUUUGUGUGUCCGGUCCGCAAUUAAAGACUGUUUUAAGACAACAGAAUAGGACAUCUUCAAAUAAGGAGCAACUUACAAUGACCACAAAGAGGAAUGUACUGAGGCUGAUACUGCUUACAUCUGAAAGUGCACUAAUGACGUCUCACACACAGGAAAACCACCAAAACAAUCAAGUACACAAGCUUCUAAGGGCUCAGGAUGCAGCCUUUAGAGCCGGUGACACUGCAGGCCUAGCAACAGAAAGAGCCAACUUGUCCCAUGGAAUCAGGGAAGCAGAACAUCAAUACAACAAUAAAAUAUCUGGACAUUUCAGCAACGGACAUCUUUAAAAUCUCACUGAGUCAAACAGUUGUUCCAAAGUGUUUUAAGGCCAAAGAAACCGCACCCAUCCAGUCACAAUGACUACCGGCCCGUUGCACUGACCCCCAUCAUUAUAAAGUGCUUAAAACAAGUGGUCAUGCAGCACAUAAAAUCCAUUCUUCCAUCUCAGCUGCUCUCCAUCCAGCCCUUACACACCUGGAUUUUAGUUCAGCAUUUUAGUUUCUUUAAAUCUGACACUGUUGCACGUGUUUUGUUUUGUUUUUUGUUUUUUUUACUUCUGUCAUAUUGCUGAUAUCUGUCUUGCACCUUCCAAAUGCGUUCAUACUCAAAACUAAGAUGCGCAUUUGCACCUUACACAUUCAGAUGUUUGAGAUAUGUUUACUGAGAGACUAGAGAAACGGUAUUUCGAUUCCUCUGUAUGUCUACACAUAUGGUUUCAUUCACAAAUAAAAAUCUUGAACCUUGAACCUUAAAGGCUAGGCUACUUAUAUUUUAGUCUGUGAAUAAUAGCACAAAAAAUUCAUGCAAAUCUGAUAUUAUGGGGAAGAGGAAGGCAUGUAAAAAAGCUUUUGUUUUUGUGGAAUAGAACCUUAGAUUAAUUAUAAAACAUAAAAAAAAUUCUUUUUGAACUUUAAACAUACUACACAUGGAAUCGACGGCUGGUAAGACCAAGUUGUACAAAAUAGUCUGACCAGCUUCAUAGGUUCACAUGGCACCUGUUAGUUCAUGGGAUAUAUUAGGAUCAGAGAAUCACUAGAACUGCAGCUCUUGUAGGAUGUUCCUGGUCUGCAGUGGUCAGUAUCUAUUAAAAU